UCUAGGCCACCUGACCCUGAACGUGCCUGAUCUCCUCUGAUCUCAGAAGCUGAGCAGGGUUGGGCCUGGUUGGCACUUGGGUGGGAAGCACGGUCCCCCAAAGCCUCAUGUGCUGAUAGGC
rnacentral:rRNA from 1 species